rnacentral:rRNA from 1 species
ACGGGUGAGUAACGCGUAUCCAACCUGCCGUCUACUCUUGGACAGCUCUGAAAGGAAGAUUAAUACAAGAUGGCAUCAUGAGUCCGCAUGUUCACAUGAUUAAAGGUAUUCCGGUAGACGAUGGGGAUGCGUUCCAUUAGAUAGUAGGCGGGGUAACGGCCCACCUAGUCUUCGAUGGAUAGGGGUUCUGAGAGGAAGGUCCCCCACAUUGGAACUGAGACACGGUCCAA